rnacentral:rRNA from 1 species
GACGAACGCUGGCGGCGUGCUUAACACAUGCAAGUCGAACGGUGAACCAGAGCUUGCUCUGGGGAUCAGUGGCGAACGGGUGAGUAACACGUGGGCAACCUGCCCCAGACUCUGGGAUAACCCCGGGAAACCGGAGCUAAUACCGGAUAUGACCACUUCGGACAUCCGAUGGUGGUGGAAAGUUUUUCGGUCUGGGAUGGGCCCGCGGCCUAUCAGCUAGUUGGUGGGGUAAUGGCCUACCAAGGCGACGACGGGUAGCCGGCCUGAGAGGGCGACCGGCCACACUGGAACUGAGACACGGUCCAGACUCCUACGGGAGGCAGCAGUGGGGAAUAUUGCACAAUGGGCGAAAGCCUGAUGCAGCGACGCCGCGUGAGGGACGACGGCCUUCGGGUUGUAAACCUCUUUCAGCAGGGACGAAGCGAAAGUGACUGUACCUGCAAAAGAAGCACCGGCUAACUAC